UUCCUGAUGUUUAGUCGGAAUCUGCUUUCUUGUAACUUGAAGCCAUUGGUUCAAUCCUACCUUCCAGAGCAGGAGAAAGCAAGCUCACUCCAUCCUCUCUGUGAGAUACUUGAAGAUGGCUACCAUAUCCCCUCUCAAUCUCCUCUUUUCCAGGCUAAACAUGCCCAGUUCCCUCAACC